GAUGAAGAACGCAGCGAAAUGCGAUAAGUAAUGUGAAUUGCAGAAUUCAGUGAAUCAUCGAAUCUUUGAACGCACCUUGCGCCCUUUGGCUAUUCCGAAGGGCAUGCCUGUUUGAGUAUCAUGAACACCUCAACUCUCAUGGUUUGCCAUGAUGAGCUUGGACUCUGGGGGUCUUGCUGGCCUAUGGUCAGCUCCUCUCAAAUAAAUCAGCUUGCCAGUGUUUGGUGGCAUCACAGGUGUGAUAACUAUCUACGCUUGUGGUUUUCCAUCAGGUAACCUUCAGUGAUGGAGGUUCGCUGGAGCUCAUAAAUGUCCCUCCUAAGCGAGGACAGCUUUUUGAACGUUUGAUCUCAAAUCAGGUAGGACUACCCGCUGAACUUAAGCAUAUCAAUAAGCGGAGGA
rnacentral:misc_RNA from 1 species